rnacentral:rRNA from 1 species
AAUAGAUACCCCGGUACGUCCGAUGCCGUAAACGACUCGUCUACUAGCCGUUGGGGCCUUUGAGGCUUUAGGUAGGGCGCAGCUAACGCGAUAAGUAGACCGCCUGGGGGAGUACGGUCGCAAGACUAAAACUCAAAUGAAUUGACGGGGGGCCCGCACAGGCGGUGGAGCAUGUGGUUUAAUUCGAUGCAACGCGAAGAACCUUACCUGGUCUUGACAUAGUAAGAACUUUCCAGAGAUGGAUUGGUGCCUUCGGGAACUUACAUACAGGUGCUGCAUGGCUGUCGUCGGCUCGUGUCGUGAGAUGUUGGGUUAAGUCCCGCAACGAGCGCAACCCUUUUCCUUAUUUGCCAGCGGGUUAAGCCGGGAACUUUAAGGAUACUGCCAGUGACAAACUGGAGGAAGGCGGGGACGACGUCAAGUCAUCAUGGCCCUUACGACCAGGGCUACACACGUGCUACAAUGGUCGGUACAAAGGGUUGCUACCUAGCGAUAGGAUGCUAAUCUCAAAAAGCCGAUCGUAGUCCGGAUUGGAGUCUGCAACUCGACUCC